GGUGCAGUUGCCCAGGCAGAAGGCUCGGCAGGGGGAAGUAGUGACCAGGAGGGAGGUGCCUCCUUAACCACAGAGAUUUUUUGGCAACCAACUUAUUGAAAAAUCACGUUUUAAAAUUUUCUUUAAGUCAAACCCUACAGAACCUAAGGAGCUGGCUCCUCCUGGCAGGAAGCUGGGAGAGUGCUGGUCACAGUGCACCAGGUGCCCCCUGCCUCACAGGGGCUUAGGGUGGUGGUGAGCACAGGGGCCCCACGCUUCUCCAAUGCACACCACACAGUCGUCUCCUCUGACCUUCCCAAAUGCUGCACGGACAAGUGUUUGUAGUCCCUAACUCUCAGGACAAUGUAGACUUGGUAUACCUUCGGGCACGGGGAAUCCCAUCCUUCUUCCUGUUCCUGCCGCUCUGAAGCAUGUGGUGUAUGUUUAAUGGGGAUUUUACACAAUAUGGGAAGACCACUUCUGCUUUCUAUGCAGUGAUAAUACUGCAAUAAGAAAAAAUGAACCAAGCCACCAAAACAAAACAGUACCACCUGAUGCAGAACUAGGAGGGAAACACAGCAGUGUCUCAGAGCUAAUGCAGCAGCCAGGCACCACGACGGUGUCAUGGGUACAAGGAGGAGGUGUCUCAGAGCUAAUGCUCUGUGCUGACAGCAGCCAGGCACCACGACGGUGCCAUGGGUACAAGGAGGAGGUGUCUCAGAGCUAAUGCUCUGUGCUGACAGCAGCCAGGCACCACGACGGUGUCAUGGGUACAAGGAGGAGGUGUCUCAGAGCUAAUGCUCUGUGCUGACAGCAGCCAGGCACCAUGACGGUGCCAUGGGUACAAGGAGGAGGUGUCUCAGAGCUAAUGCUCUGUGCUGACAGCAGCCAGGCACCACGACGGUGUCAUGGGUACAAGGAGGAGGUGUCUCAGAGCUAAUGCUCUGUGCUGACAGCAGCCAGGCACCACGACGGUGUCAUGGGUACAAGGAGGAGGUGUCUCAGAGCUAAUGCUCUGUGCUGACAGCAGCCAGGCACCACGACGGUGCCAUGGGUACAAGGAGGAGGUGUCUCAGAGCUAAUGCUCUGUGCUGACAGCAGCCAGGCACCACGACGGUGUCAUGGGUACAAGGAGGAGGUGUCUCAGAGCUAAUGCUCUGUGCUGACAGCAGCCAGGCACCACGACGGUGUCAUGGGUACAAGGAGGAGGUGUCUCAGAGCUAAUGCUCUGUGCUGACAGCAGCCAGGCACCACGAUGGUGCCAUGGGUACAAGGAGGAGGUGCCUGGUUUUCGGGAGCUUGCCAUCUGAACAGACCCAAGGUGGCAAAUACACAGUGAGAAAAUGGGGCCAUGAGUGCUGUAAUUACCUACAGAAUGUUUAGGGGGACUGGGAGCAAAAACAAUCCCCUCUUUCAGAAACCAAUCCUGGAAGGUGCUGGAAGGUUGUACUAGCUGUGAAAGUCAGAGGCCACCAGGCAGCUAUCGUGAGACCAAAGGCAGUAGUCAGCUCAGGCAAGCCGGUUUCCUUAUUUAUGUCAAAUUCCUCAGUCUUGGGUCUCCUUAUCUUUUAAAUAAGGAGUUAGAAUAGAAUUUGAGGGCUGUUCACUCAGGCAUCCAUGGUGGCUGCAGCAUAAGGAGUGUGUGGUGUCAGGAUGGGAAGGGCAACAUGGAGACUGCAUGGCCAUUGACGUCUGAAAGUCUCUGGUUGCCAAAAAGAAUCUAUCUACAACAGCAUUCAUCCUGACAGCAGCCAACAGGCAGCCUAGACCUGGCAUGCCACAGCUCCUCUAGGCUCUGAACCCCUCUCAGCUGAGCCUGGUAGAUGCCAGCUGACCGGCUGCAGCCCCUGAGUAGAGGUUGGCUGUCCUAGCAAUAGAGUAGGGCGGGGGCACAGCAGACAUGGGACCAUCAUCUGGAUUCCUAGACGUGCAACUGCAAGCUUAGAAGAAAUAAAGGAAAUAUCCCAGGAGCAAAAACAAAACACACACAUGCUCCUCUCAAGAGUCACUGGCAUCCCAGCUGAAAAGUCAGCUCUACACCUAUGGGACCUAUGGGCCUGUUUCUGAGCUCUGUUUUGUCUCUUUGGUCUGAGUGUCUAUCUGAGGCCAAUACCACAGUACCAAAUGCGAUUGCUUUAGAGGAAGUCUUGAAAUCAGAUGAGGGAGCAUAACUUUCGCAUCUCAGUCCUUCUCCAUUUCCUGAGGCUUCUUCAGGCUCUGGUGUGUGGUCCACCCUGGAGAAUGUCUCGCUCUCCUCUCGAGAGGAACGUGGCUGCGGCUCUGCGUGGACCGUUUGGCAGAGGCUCAUAUGCUGGAUCCACUGGUUGGUUCACGGGGUUCAUUCCUGUCUGUUGAUCUUCUACCUAGUGGCUCCAUCACUCAUUCAAGCCACCCGAUGUCCCUUUUGAUUAUUGUUUACACGGUUCGUCUUUUUCCACCUUUCCCCGUUGGACUCUG
rnacentral:lncRNA from 1 species